UAAUUAGUUAUGUUGACUAGUAGAACUUUUGGUGUAUAGUUUUUAAAUAUUAUUUUAAAAUAUUUCAAGAGUCUAUAUCUGAAUUUCUUAAUAAGAAAAUUAAAAUUGUUGACCGGAACCUCUUCAUAUAAAUUGAGGCAGAAAGAAUUUCAAAUAUGAGCUCACACUUGUUAAUAACAUAAGAUAUGAGAUAUAAAUAAAUUAAAUAUGAAUUCCACACACACAAACACAUUCCAUAUUGCACGAAAUAGACAACAAUGUGCUUAAAAUCUUACAUGAGCCAACUUAGAAAUUCAUGAAGAAGUUACAUGAAAACAUUGUGAAGAAUACCAUAAACAAAGCCUAAACUCCUAUAAAUACCUCAACAUAUAUAUGAACUCCUCGAAGCAUCAAAAGUUAAAGCAACAAAGCAAUAAUACACUACACUUACUCAUAUUCAUAAUUAAUUUUAUUUUAAGAGAAGAGAAGAGAUAUGGAGAAUAAUGGAAAGAGCAAAGUAGGCACAUCAAAGAAUAUUGGAAGUGUGUUUCCAAAGAAAGAUAAGAAGUCAGUGAAGAAAAUGGCUGUUGAAAAGAUAGGCAAAGUUGUAGUGUCCACUUUCAAGAAUGAUAAGAAAAAGAUUAACCCCUCUGAUGGCAC
rnacentral:lncRNA from 1 species